UGCCCAGCAACUCCUAUCCCUACCUCCUCGCGGUACCGGCCGGAAACUAUGAGCAACCUUAGGGAAGAUCGGGUAACCAACCCCAGUGGGAACUUUGGUCGUAGGCUGACAGGGAAGG
rnacentral:ribozyme from 1 species